rnacentral:rRNA from 1 species
UACAGAGGGUGCAAGCGUUGCUCGGAAUCAUUGGGCGUAAAGGGCAAGUAGGUGGUCUCAUUUGUCUUGUGUGAAAUCCUUGGGCUUAACUCAAGAAGUGCGCAAGAAACGGUGAGACUCGAGUUCUGGAGAGGGUCGUGGAAUUCCCGGUGUAGCGGUGAAAUGCGUAGAGAUCGGGAAGAACAUCGGUGGCGAAAGCGCUCUACUGGACCGCAACUGACACUGAGGGACGAAAGCUAGGGGAGCGAAUGGG